UCUUUGCGCCGCACAUCCAAGGCGCUUCAAGAUACGCGCAGUGUUGCAUCAAGAUCCGCGAUAUUCAUCAAAACCGUAGAAAAGAAAGCAUCGUUCUCUCUCCCUCCCGAUCCGACGCCGUGCGCAAAAGAAACCCGACGCCAGAUUUGGGCUACGCGAUCGGAGUAAGGUUGUUAUGUUGCAGCCGAUUCUUUCUCCUUAUUUUGAUGUGUUGAUGGAUCGAUAUGCUUUUGGAUCGACGAACCGGCCUAGGGCUUCUGAUUGUUGCAGGAAGAUCCCAAGAGUUAUCCUGCAUUCUUCAAUUUAAUCUUGUUAGACAGUGUUACUUUAUGCCGACAGAUUGUGUCUGUUUUAAGAAUACAAUGGAGAAGAUUUCUGUAGGUGAAAUUUGGUUUAAUGUCAUGCAUGCCGAACUGAAUCCAUGCACGAAUGCAAGACCAGUAGGAUGUUUCAUACCUUCUGGGUUUGCUAGUAAUGACAAAAUGCUGAAUAUCAAGCCCCAUGGGUCCCAACUGUUGUUUGUUCAUUGCUGGCGUGUCUUGGCUCAUGGAAGGGCAUCUGGCUGGAAGACUAUUGCACGACCUGCUAUCAUGCCAGUUGAGCAUUCAUCCAUGUCAGGCUCAUGGAGUGAUAGUAUUUAUGGGAUAUCCAUAUAGUCUUAUGCUGGAAAAUAGGAAAAGUUGACGAUGUCAUACAUGAAGUGAUUGAGGGUCACAAUGGGAAAUGAUAUGGAUUCAUCAAAGGGCAUUUUUACUGGAACAAUUCAGGAAGAUGGUUUUCGAGACCAAAUCGAGUCGUAGAAUGGCCACCCUUGUGGCGUCCUUUAUGACCCUCUUCUUACUUGCUUAUUCUUGAGAAAGGAGCAGUCAUAGUGUUCUUUAGAUUUUUAUCAUUUCAAGAUAUCAGAGCGCAUGCUUUUGGUUCUGCCUAUGUUCUGAUGCUGGUGCUUUGUGCAAUGUCUUCCCUGAAGGCAUGUUUUCAAUAUAUAAGAUUUUAGGUGCUCUUGGCUAGUCUUUCUGAAACGCAUACAGUUCAUGGAUUGUGAUUACUGUUAGUUGUAUUUGUAAGGAACUGUGUGCUUCUUUGUUGUCACAUGAUAAGUGAACUUUCGAAAUGUAAAUUGCAACUUUCUUUCACUUUGCAAACUUGCAACCAUCUCUCUCUCUAUCAAUAAUAUAUGCAUCUUUCCAAGGGAGGGGUAGGGCAUCUGAAUCCUGGAGCACCACCAGGUCAGUAAAAAAGACCCUCACUUCCCUGAAUAGGGAAAUAAAUGAUUUGUUGUACGGAGCUCUUAAACUGUGCAGUGACAAUGUCAUUUAACCUUGUACUUUCUUUUGUGAUGCAUCCUUGCAGGGGUACAUACCAUGAACUGGAUAACUUGCUGCUUGGAUAAGGGACAAAUGUUUCGGUUCUUUUCAUCACCCUUCAUCAUUUCUGAUGCUGCCAACUCAUGUGACCCUGAGCUACCAGUGGCAAACAUGUGUUCUACCUUAAGACCUGAGAAACUUUGGUUUAGGUAUGAUUGAUCUCAUACAGUAAAAAAAGUUGGGUCUUCGGUACAUGCAUGGGAAAGAUUGAUUUUAAAACAAGGGUUUACAUCUCACAAGAUUUAGUGUGUAUCAUCUUUUGGUUCACAUCUGCCCUUUUCAUGUGCUCCUUACCUGUACUCCACAUAAACUACUGCUCUUGCCUGGCCCAGGUUGGAAGGUCACGCACACACCACCAUCAUUUAUGUUUGACAAAUGUAGGUUAUCCAUUUCAUGAAAGCUGUGCCACUGUUUUGUUAAUCUAUCAUUCUUAGUAUUUUAUUGCUAGAACAGUGCAAUUGGAUUCUUUAUAGCAUAGCAUGACAGGAUCUCAUUAGGUGGGGAGCCGUUGUACUUGCAAAUUGUGCCCUGGACCACCAUUUUGGGACUCUUAAAAGUUGAUACUAUUAUAUUAGGUAAUCAUGAAACCCUUACUUGUUUCAUGUGAUUUGAUAAAUUAGGAGGUAGGUUAUCUCUCCAUGUUUGUUUUAGGAAGUUUAAUCUUCCCUAUAGUUGGUAAGUCACAUAAAAAUUGGAUCAUAGGAAUCAUUCAUAAGAGAAAUUUUUAUUCGAAUUCAGAAGUCACUCAUGUUCUUUCUUAUCGGGCAUGAAGGAGUGAAAUUAUUCAUAGACUGCUAUGGCUAUAAUGUACAGUUUUGCUUUCAUAAAUUAGAGUAGCUUCUAUUACAGAACACAUAUGGUUGGCAAGUUGGUUAAGGGGUACUUUUUUAAUGGCU